rnacentral:rRNA from 1 species
UACGGGGGGAGCAAGCGUUGUUCGGAAUUACUGGGCGUAAAGGGCGCGUAGGCGGUUUGGUCAGUGAGAUGUGAAAGCCUCCGGCUCACCCGGAGAAAUGCAUCUCAUACUGCCAAGCUAGAGUGCAGCAGAGGAAACGGGAAUUCCAGGUGUAGCGGUGAAAUGCGUAGAUAUCUGGAGGAACACCGGUGGCGAAGGCGCGUUUCUGGGCUGCUACUGACGCUGAUGCGCGAAAGCUGGGGGAGCAAACGGG